ACUUAAAUAGCUUAUAGUUAAGAGUAUAACAUUGAAGAUGUUAAGGAAAUUUUUUAUGUUUUUAAGUA
rnacentral:tRNA from 1 species